GAAAAAGGUAUCUCAGUAAAAAGAUUUGUUAUAACAUUUAAAAAUUGUGGGGAAACCAUGUCAGGUCAGGGGCAGAUCAUUAAUGAGGUACGGACCAAUAGCGGCUGCUUAAAGCGCCAUCUGUAAGCUCACAAUCUACCUCGGUCUGCUUCACGCCAGUUCCGAUCCUAAUAUAACCAGUCACUGAAAACCCAGGUAUAGGGAGUGUGCCUACUUCCUCCGCAGCCUUCUUCUCAAAUAUCAAAUUUCAACCUGCGAACGGGCAUACUCAUUACGGGCUGUAUGGCUUGCGGAGGAGGUAGGGAG